rnacentral:tRNA from 1 species
GCCUGUGUAGCUCAGUGAUUGAGCACCUGUCUUUGGCCCAGGGUGUGAUCCUGGAGUCCUGGGAUCAAGUCCCACAUCAGGCU